rnacentral:rRNA from 1 species
GACGAACCGUGCGAACGUUGUUCGGAAUCACUGGGCUUAAAGGGCGCGUAGGCGGGCCAUCAAGUCCGGGGUGAAAUCUUUCGGCUCAACCGGAAAAGUGCCUUGGAUACUGGUGGUCUUGAGUGAGGUAGGGGCAUGUGGAACUUUCGGUGGAGCGGUGAAAUGCGUUGAUAUCGGAAGGAACUCCGGUGGCGAAAGCGACGUGCUGGACCUCUUCUGACGCUGAGGCGCGAAAGCUAGGGGAGCGAACGGG